CUCGUGUCGUGAGAUGUGGGUUAAGUCCCGCAACGAGCGCAACCCCUAUUGUUAGUUGCCAUCAUUCAGUUGGGCACUCUAGCGAGACUGCCGGUAAUAAACCGGAGGAAGUGGGAUGACGUCAAAUCAUCAUGCCCCUUAUGACCUGGGCUACACACGUGCUACAAUGGUUGGUACAACGAGUUGCGAGUCGGUGACGGCGAGCUAAUCUCUUAAAGCCAAUCUCAGUUCGGAUUGUAGGCUGCAACUCGCCUACAUGAAGUCGGAAUCGCUAGUAAUCGCGGAUCAGCACGCCGCGGUGAAUACGUUCCCGGGCCUU
rnacentral:rRNA from 1 species